AACGAACGCUGGCGGCAUGCCUAACACAUGCAAGUCGAACGAGACCUUCGGGUCUAGUGGCGCAUGGGUGCGUAACGCGUGGGAAAAUGCCUUUAGGUUCGGAAUAACUCAGAGGAAUUUGAGCUAAUACCGGCUGAUGUAUUCGGACCAAAGAUUUAUCGCCUUUAGAUGGGCUUGCGUUGGAUUAGCUAGUUGGUGGGGUAAAGGCCUACCAAGGCGACGAUCCAUAGCUGGUCUGAGAGGAUGAUCAGCCACACUGGGACUGAGACACGGUCCAGACUCCUACGGGAGGCAGCAGUGGGGAAUAUUGGACAGUGGGCGAUAGCCUGAUCCAGCAAGGCCGCGUGAGUGAUGAAGGCCUUAGGGUUGUAAAGCUCGUUUACCCGAGAUGAUAAUGACAGUAUCGGGAGAAUAAGCUCCGGCUAACUCCGUG
rnacentral:rRNA from 1 species